AUUGAACGCUGGCGGCAGGCCUAACACAUGCAAGUCGAGCGGAUGAAGGGAGCUUGCUCCUGGAUUCAGCGGCGGACGGGUGAGUAAUGCCUAGGAAUCUGCCUGGUAGUGGGGGAUAACGUCCGGAAACGGGCGCUAAUACCGCAUACGUCCUGAGGGAGAAAGUGGGGGAUCUUCGGACCUCACGCUAUCAGAUGAGCCUAGGUCGGAUUAGCUAGUUGGUGGGGUAAAGGCCUACCAAGGCGACGAUCCGUAACUGGUCUGAGAGGAUGAUCAGUCACACCGGAACUGAGACACGGUCCAGACUCCUACGGGAGGCAGCAGUGGGGAAUAUUGGACAAUGGGCGAAAGCCUGAUCCAGCCAUGCCGCGUGUGUGAAGAAGGUCUUCGGAUUGUAAAGCACUUUAAGUUGGGAGGAAGGGCAGUAAGUUAAUACCUUGCUGUUUUGACGGUACCAACAGAAUAAGCACCGGCUAACUUCGUG
rnacentral:rRNA from 1 species